rnacentral:rRNA from 1 species
CGCAAGCCUGACGGAGCAACGCCGCGUGAGGGAUGAAGGCCUCUGGGCUGUAAACCUCUUUUAUCAAGGAAGAAGAUCUGACGGUACUUGAUGAAUAAGCCACGGCUAAUUCCGUGCCAGCAGCCGCGGUAAUACGGGAGUGGCAAGCGUUAUCCGGAAUUAUUGGGCGUAAAGCGUCCGCAGGCGGUCUUGUAAGUCUGUCGUUAAAGCGUGGAGCUUAACUCCAUUUCGGCGGUGGAAACUACAAGACUAGAGUGUGGUAGGGGCAGAGGGAAUUCCCGGUGUAGCGGUGAAAUGCGUAGAUAUCGGGAAGAACACCAGUGGCGAAGGCGCUCUGCUGGGCCAUAACUGACGCUCAUGGACGAAAGCCAGGGGAGCGAAAG